GAUGAACGCUAGCGGCAGGCCUAACACAUGCAAGUCGAGGGGUAACAGGGGAGCUUGCUCCCGCUGACGACCGGCGCACGGGUGCGUAACGCGUAUACAAUCUGCCUUGUACUGGGGUAUAGCCUUUAGAAAUGAAGAUUAACACCCCAUGGUAUGAGUUUUUGGCAUCAAGAGCUCAUUAAAGGUUACGGUACAAGAUGAGUAUGCGUCCUAUUAGCUAGAUGGAGUGGUAACGGCACCCCAUGGCAACGAUAGGUAGGGGCCCUGAGAGGGGGAUCCCCCACACUGGUACUGAGACACGGACCAG
rnacentral:rRNA from 1 species